UCUGCCCUCACCUCCUAUUUCAUUCUCUAUUCUCACAAAAAAAAUUCAUUUAUUCUUACAGGGAUCCAUACGAGAAAUUUUCGAGAAUUGGGUUGUUUUUCUCUAUUAGGGUGCAGUGUGGGAUCCAUACGAGAAUUUUUCGAGAAUUGGGUUAUUUUUCUCUAUUAGGGAGCAGUAUGGGAUCCAUACGAGAAUUUUUCGAGAAUUUGAUUGUUUUUCUCUAUUAGAGUGAAGUGUGGUAAGGGUCACGGGAAAUGUAAUCCCUGUACCCAAUCUUAUUUAGCUAAUGGAGAGAAAUCUCUCUCAACUCUUUCUUUUAAUGUUUAUAUGAUUUGCGACGGUUCUAAAACGACAUUUCUACUAAUAAUUGGAGGUAUUAUUCAAUACUUAACCAUAAAAUUUGACUUUUAAGGCGUUGAUUUUAAUGCUAAGAAAUAAUU